CGAUAUCAAUAAAAUUGUUGACGAUACGUCUAAAAUAAUCAGUAUUUUACUGGCAAGUUAUCGUACAGCAAGUGAACAAACAACAUGAUUAAGAUUACAAUUUUCGUUGUGCUUUUGGUAGUGAACAUUUCGAUGAUAAACGCUGACUGGAAAGCGGACGCUCAACAAGCCUGUGAAGGGAUAAAUGGAUCAUUGCUACCAGGCAUUCCAACAAAAUUGAAACCAUGCAAGGUACUAUGCUCUGUACCAGGUAGUAACAACUCUUUCCAAAAUCUCGUAAAUAACUCUAAGUGCACAAUAAAAAAAUCGGACGGCGUGGAAGGUGUGUGUAAAAAUGGAAAAUGUGUUGCUGUUUAGAUACUUAGGAACGACAACAAUUUCUAAUAUGUAAAAAAUUGAGAUCGACAAAGAAAUUACUUUUGCUAACAAAAUGCUAAUCUUUUACUU